rnacentral:rRNA from 1 species
GACGUAGGGCGCGAGCGUUGUCCGGAUUUAUUGGGCGUAAAGAGCUCGUAGGCGGCUUGUUACGUCGACUGUGAAAACCCGCGGCUCAACCGUGUGGUCUGCAGUCGAUACGGGCAGGCUAGAGUUCGGUAGGGGAGACUGGAAUUCCUGGUGUAGCGGUGAAAUGCGCAGAUAUCAGGAGGAACACCGGUGGCGAAAGCGCGAUACUGGGCCAUAACUGACGCUGAGGAACGAAAGCCAGGGGAGCAAAAGGG